AGGGAUCAUUACCGAGUUUACAACUCCCAAACCCCUGUGAACAUACCUAUCGUUGCCUCGGCGGUACCCGCUCCGGCGGCCCGCCAGAGGACCCCCAAACUCUUGUUUUAUACAGUAUCUUCUGAGUAACACGAUUAAAUAAAUCAAAACUUUCAACAACGGAUCUCUUGGUUCUGGCAUCGAUGAAGAACGCAGCGAAAUGCGAUAAGUAAUGUGAAUUGCAGAAUUCAGUGAAUCAUCGAAUCUUUGAACGCACAUUGCGCCCGCCAGUAUUCUGGCGGGCAUGCCUGUUCGAGCGUCAUUUCAACCCUCAAGCCCCCGGGCUUGGUGUUGGGGAUCGGCGUGCCCUCGUGGCGCGCCGUCCCCUAAAUCUAGUGGCGGUCUCGCUGUAGCUUCCUCUGCGUAGUAGCAACACUCGCACUGGAUCGCAGCGCGGCCACGCCGUUAAACCCCCCACUUCUGAAAGUUUGACCUCGGAUCAGGUAGGAAUACCCGCUGAACUUAAGCAUAUCAAUAA
rnacentral:rRNA from 1 species